UACGAAGGGGGCUAGCGUUGCUCGGAAUUACUGGGCGUAAAGCGCACGUAGGCGGAUUGUUAAGUCGGGGGUGAAAUCCUGGAGCUCAACUCCAGAACUGCCUUCGAUACUGGCGAUCUCGAGUUCGGGAGAGGUGAGUGGAACUGCGAGUGUAGAGGUGAAAUUCGUAGAUAUUCGCAAGAACACCAGUGGCGAAGGCGGCUCACCUGGCCCGAU
rnacentral:rRNA from 1 species